rnacentral:rRNA from 1 species
ACGGAAGGCAGCAGUGGGGAAUAUUGCACAAUGGGGGAAACCCUGAUGCAGCGACGCCGCGUGAGUGAAGAAGUAUUUCGGUAUGUAAAGCUCUAUCAGCAGGAAAGAAAAUGACGGUACCUGACUAAGAAGCCCCGGCUAACUACGUGCCAGCAGCCGCGGUAAUACGUAGGGGGCAAGCGUUAUCCGGAUUUACUGGGUGUAAAGGGAGCGUAGACGGCUUUGCAAGUCUGAAGUGAAAGCCCGGGGCUCAACCCCGGAACUGCUUUGGAAACUGUAGAGCUGGAGUGCAGGAGAGGUAAGUGGAAUUCCUAGUGUAGCGGUGAAAUGCGUAGAUAUUAGGAGGAACACCAGUGGCGAAGGCGGCUUGCUGGGCUUUUACUGACGCUGAGGCUCGAAAGCGUGGGGAGCAAACAGGAUUAGAUACCCUGGUA